rnacentral:lncRNA from 1 species
AUAUGAAAUGAGCUAGAGAGGCUAAAUUUAGGAUGUUUGAUUGAACUCUUUUUGUAUUAAGAAUAGCUUAGAUAGUUAGAUGCGUGUUUAGGGUCUUUGGUGGAGUUACAUAUUCGACAUUAGAUCAAUGUUUGGACCAUGGGAAUAUGAGAAAGGGUCCCCAAAGAUCAAGGGGAGUCUGCCGUGAAACAUUGAAGCCUAUUUUGUUAUUUUAAGUUCGAGAUGUUAUUUAUAGUGAACAAAGUCAUGGUGAAUUGGUAAUUGAGAGGUGUGGAAGUUUUUAUGCAACUUAUUUCUUCCGUAUCUCUUUAUUUUUCUUUAAAU